rnacentral:rRNA from 1 species
GAUGAACGCUAGCGGCAGGCUUAAUACAUGCAAGUUGAGGGGCAGCAUGAUAUACGCGAGUAUAUUGAUGGCGACCGGCGGACGGGUGAGUAAUAGGUAGGAGACCUACCUCAUACAGGGGGAUAGCAUAGAGAAAUCUGUGGUAAUACCCCAUGAGGUUAUAUGAAUAGAGGCAUAUAAUCAAAGCAUAAGCGAUUAUGCGGUAUGAGAGGGGCCUACUGACCAUUAGCUAGUUGGUGAGGUAAGGGCUCACCAAGGCGAAGAUGGUUAGGGGUUUUGAGAGAGAGACCCCCCACAUUGGAACUGAGAGACGGUCCAGACUCCUACGGGAGGCAGCAGUAGGGAAUAUUGGGCAACGGGCGAAAGCCUGACCCAGCCAUGCCGCGUGAAGGAAGACGGCCUUAUGGGUUGUAAACUUCUUUACUACGCGAAUAGAGGUUAGUACGAGAUACUAAUAGGAAGGUAGUGUAGUAAAAAGCAACCGGCUAACUCCGUGCC